rnacentral:rRNA from 1 species
GAUGAACGCUAGCUACAGGCUUAACACAUGCAAGUCGAGGGGAAACGGCAUUGAGUGCUUGCACUCUUUGGACGUCGACCGGCGCACGGGGGAGUAAAGCGUAUCCAACCUUCCCAUUACUGUGGGAUAACCUGCCGAAAGGCAGACUAAUACCGCAUAGUCUUCGAUGACGGCAUCAGAUUUGAAGUAAAGAUUUAUCGGUAAUGGAUGGGGAUGCGUCUGAUUAGCUUGUUGGCGGGGUAACGGCCCACCAAGGCGACGAUCAGUAGGGGUUCUGAGAGGAAGGUCCCCCACAUUGGAACUGAGACACGGUCCAAACUCCUACGGGAGGCAGCAGUGAGGAAUAUUGGUCAAUGGACGGAAGUCUGAACCAGCCAAGUAGCGUGCAGGAUGACGGCCCUAUGGGUUGUAAACUGCUUUUGUAUGGGGAUAAAGUUAGGGACGUGUCCCUAUUUGCAGGUACCAUACGAAUAAGGACCGGCUAAUUCCGUG